AUUGAACGCUGGCGGCAGGCCUAACACAUGCAAGUCGAGCGAGCGGCGGACGGGUGAGUAAUGUAUGGGGACUGCCCGAUAGAGGGGGAUAACUACUGGAAACGGUGGCUAAUACCGCAUACUAUCGGAUAACCCAUAUGGGAUUAGCUAGUAGGUAAGGUAAUGGCUUACCUAGGCGACGAUCCCUAGCUGGUCUGAGAGGAUGAACAGCUACAGUGGGACGGAGACACGGCCCAGACUCUUACGGAGGCAGCAGUGGGGAAUAUUGCACAAUGGGCUCAAGCCGGAUGCAGCCAUGCCGCGUGUAUGAAGAAGGCCCUAGGGUUGUAAAGUACUUUCAGUCGGGAGGCGUUACCGACAGAAGAAGCAACGGCUAACUCCGUGCCAGCAGCCGCGGUAAUUC
rnacentral:rRNA from 1 species